rnacentral:rRNA from 2 species
UAAAAAAAGGUAAGCUACUAAGAGCGAAUGGUGGAUGCCUUGACUGGUAAAGGCGAUGAAGGACGUACUAGACUGCGAUAAGCUACGGGGAGCUGUCAAGAAGCUUUGAUCCGUAGAUUUCCGAAUGGGGCAACCCAAUGUAUAGAGAUAUACAUUACCUAUAUAGGAGCGAACGAGGGGAAUUGAAACAUCUUAGUACCCUCAGGAAAAGAAAUCAAUAGAGAUUGCGUCAGUAGCGGCGAGCGAAAGCGCAAGAGGGCAAACCCAGUGCUUGCACUGGGGGUUGUAGGACUGCAAUGUGCAAGAGCUGAGUUUAGCAGAACAUUCUGGAAAGUAUAGCCAUAGAGGGUGAUAGUCCCGUAUGCGAAAAACAAAGCUUAGCUAGCAGUAUCCUGAGUAGGGCGGGACACGAGGAAUCCUGUCUGAAUCCGGGUCGACCACGAUCCAACCCUAAAUACUAAUACCAGAUCGAUAGUGCACAAGUACCGUGAGGGAAAGGUGAAAAGAACUGAGGUGAUCAGAGUGAAAUAGAACCUGAAACCAUUUGCUUACAAUCAUUCAGAGCACUAUGUAGCAAUACAGUGUGAUGGACUGCCUUUUGCAUAAUGAGCCUGCGAGUUGUGGUGUCUGGCAAGGUUAAGCAAACGCGAAGCCGUAGCGAAAGCGAGUCUGAAUAGGGCGCUUAGUCAGAUGCUGCAGACCCGAAACGAAGUGAUCUAUCCAUGAGCAAGUUGAAGCUAGUGUAAGAACUAGUGGAGGACUGAACCCAUAGGCGUUGAAAAGCCCCGGGAUGACUUGUGGAUAGGGGUGAAAGGCCAAUCAAACUUCGUGAUAGCUGGUUCUCUCCGAAAUAUAUUUAGGUAUAGCGUUGUGUCGUAAUAUAAGGGGGUAGAGCACUGAAUGGGCUAGGGCAUACACCAAUGUACCAAACCCUAUCAAACUCCGAAUACCUUAUAUGUAAUCACAGCAGUCAGGCGGCGAGUGAUAAAAUCCGUCGUCAAGAGGGAAACAACCCAGACUACCAGCUAAGGUCCCUAAAUCUUACUUAAGUGGAAAACGAUGUGAAGUUACUUAAACAACCAGGAGGUUGGCUUAGAAGCAGCCAUCCUUUAAAGAAAGCGUAAUAGCUCACUGGUCUAGUGAUUUUGCGCGGAAAAUAUAACGGGGCUAAAGUAAGUACCGAAGCUGUAGACUUGCACACAACUUAGAUUAUUUAAGUUUAGAAUAUGAGAAACUAAGUUAUAUGUUUAGUUAUAUUUUUACUGAUUUUUAUAGAGUAAAGAUAGAAAUAAAACUUAAUAAAAUCAGUAAAAAUAUUCUUAGGCUAAAGUUAAGUAGUUUAAGUUGUGUGCAAGUGGUAGGAGAGCGUUCUAUUUGCGUCGAAGGUAUACCGGUAAGGAGUGCUGGAGCGAAUAGAAGUGAGCAUGCAGGCAUGAGUAGCGAUAAUUAAUGUGAGAAUCAUUAACGCCGUAAACCCAAGGUUUCCUACGCGAUGCUCGUCAUCGUAGGGUUAGUCGGGUCCUAAGUCGAGUCCGAAAGGGGUAGACGAUGGCAAAUUGGUUAAUAUUCCAAUACCAACAUUAGUGUGCGAUGGAAGGACGCUUAGGGCUAAGGGGGCUAGCGGAUGGAAGUGCUAGUCUAAGGUUGUAGGAGGUUAUACAGGCAAAUCCGUAUAACAAUACUCCGAGAACUGAAAGGCUUUUUGAAGUCUUCGGAUGGAUAGAAGAACCCCUGAUGCCGUCGAGCCAAGAAAAGUUUCUAAGUUUAGCUAAUGUUGCCCGUACCGUAAACCGACACAGGUGGGUGGGAUGAGUAUUCUAAGGCGCGUGGAAGAACUCUCUUUAAGGAACUCUGCAAAAUAGCACCGUAUCUUCGGUAUAAGGUGUGGUUAGCUUCGUACUAGGAUUUACUCCGAAAGCGAAGAAACUUACAACAAAGAGUCCCUCCCGACUGUUUACCAAAAACACAGCACUCUGCUAACUCGUAAGAGGAUGUAUAGGGUGUGACGCCUGCCCGGUGCUCGAAGGUUAAUUGAUGGGGUUAGCAUUAGCGAAGCUCUUGAUCGAAGCCCGAGUAAACGGCGGCCGUAACUAUAACGGUCCUAAGGUAGCGAAAUUCCUUGUCGGUUAAAUACCGACCUGCAUGAAUGGCGUAACGAGAUGGGAGCUGUCUCAAAGAGGGAUCCAGUGAAAUUGUAGUGGAGGUGAAAAUUCCUCCUACCCGCGGCAAGACGGAAAGACCCCGUGGACCUUUACUACAGCUUGACACUGCUACUUGGAUAAGAAUGUGCAGGAUAGGUGGGAGGCUUUGAGUAUAUGACGCCAGUUGUAUAUGAGCCAUUGUUGAGAUACCACUCUUUCUUAUUUGGGUAGCUAACCAGCUUGAGUUAUCCUCAAGUGGGACAAUGUCUGGUGGGUAGUUUGACUGGGGCGGUCGCCUCCCAAAUAAUAACGGAGGCUUACAAAGGUUGGCUCAGAACGGUUGGAAAUCGUUCGUAGAGUAUAAAGGUAUAAGCCAGCUUAACUGCAAGACAUACAAGUCAAGCAGAGACGAAAGUCGGUCUUAGUGAUCCGGUGGUUCUGUGUGGAAGGGCCAUCGCUCAAAGGAUAAAAGGUACCCCGGGGAUAACAGGCUGAUCUCCCCCAAGAGCUCACAUCGACGGGGAGGUUUGGCACCUCGAUGUCGGCUCAUCGCAUCCUGGGGCUGGAGCAGGUCCCAAGGGUAUGGCUGUUCGCCAUUUAAAGCGGUACGCGAGCUGGGUUCAGAACGUCGUGAGACAGUUCGGUCCCUAUCUGCCGUGGGCGUAAGAAGAUUGAAGAGAUUUGACCCUAGUACGAGAGGACCGGGUUGAACAAACCACUGGUGUAGCUGUUGUUCUGCCAAGAGCAUCGCAGCGUAGCUAAGUUUGGAAAGGAUAAACGCUGAAAGCAUCUAAGCGUGAAGCCAACUCUAAGAUGAAUCUUCUCUAAGCUCUCUAGAAGACUACUAGUUUGAUAGGCUGGGUGUGUAAUGGAUGAAAGUCCUUUAGCUGACCAGUACUAAUAGAGCAUUUGGCUUAUCUUUAAUAAAGCAU